rnacentral:rRNA from 1 species
CGGAGGAUCAUUAUUGAAGUAUACUUGGUAAAGUUGUUGCUGGCUCUUUCUAGAGCAUUAUAUGUGCACACUUUGCUAUUCAUAUAUUUCUAAUUACCUGUGCACUUUUUGUAGGAUGGAUAAGUAAAUGUGACCUUCGAGUUCUCACUCGGUUUGUGGGUUUGCUUAGCCAGCUUACCCUGCUACAUUUAUCUGUUCUAUGUUAUUUACUCUAUACUCUAUAUAAAGUGUAUAUUAGAGCAUUUGCUUGAACAUUAUACAACUUUCAACAACGGAUCUCUUGGCUCUCGCAUCGAUGAAGAACGCAGCGAAAUGCGAUAAGUAAUGUGAAUUGCAGAAUUCAGUGAAUCAUCGAAUUUUUGAAUGCACCUUGCACUCCUUGGUAUUCCGAGGAGUAUGCCUGUUUGAGUGUCAUAACAAUUAAUAUCAACCAUUUCUGUUGUUUAGAAUUGGCUUGGAAUUUGGGAGUUGCGAGCCCUUAUAAAACAAAGGUUGGCUCUCCUUAAAUGCAUUAGCAGAGAGGACCUGUGCUGUCUCUUUCUAUGUGUGAUAAAGUAUCUACACUAUUAAAAAAGCAGCUCUUUUACAAAAUGGUUUCUGCUAAUAAUUGUGACAACUAUUGAAACCCUUGACCUCAAAUCAGGUAGGACUACCCGCUGAACUUAAGCAUAUCAAUAAGCGGAGGAA